rnacentral:rRNA from 1 species
UACGUAGGGGGCAAGCGUUGUCCGGAUUUAUUGGGCGUAAAGAGCGUGUAGGCGCCAGGUAGGUCAGCUGUGAAAACUCGAGGCUCAACCUCGAGACGUCGGUUGAAACCACCUGGCUAGAGUCCGGAAGAGGAGAGUGGAAUUCCUGGUGUAGCGGUGAAAUGCGCAGAUAUCAGGAAGAACACCCGUGGCGAAGGCGGCUCUCUGGGACGGUACUGACGCUGAGACGCGAAAGCGUGGGGAGCGAACAGGAUUAGA